CAAUGUGCCUCCCCCCAGACAGGGCUGGCAGGUCCACGGGGGUCCGUGCCACCCACCACCCAUCCCUCCCACCGCGACGCCGUGGGGCUGGACCCACCUCUCCACCUCUGCGCGCUGGGUGGGGUUGGUGAUGGCGGCGAUGUACUGCAUGAUGUACUUGCUGGCCUCCGUCUUGCCAGCCCCGCUCUCUCCUGGCAGGGAUGGGACAGCAAGAGGUGGGUGGGUGAGGGCACCCAACCGAGGGGUGCCAUCCCCCCCUGACCCACGCGCCCCACAACCGCCGCUGUCCCUACCCGAGAUGACGAUGCAGGUGUCCUUGGCGCGGCGUUUCAUGGCCUUGUAGGCGGCGUCGGCCAGGGCGUAGAGGUGGGGCGGGCGCUCGUAGAGCUCGCGGCCGCGGUAGCGCUCCACCACCCCCGGGCCGUACAGCGCCAGCGCCCGGUAGGGGUUCACCGCCACCACCACCUCCCCGAUGUAGGUGUAGAUGCGGCCCUGAGAGAACCUGUGCAGAAAGGGUGGCCGUGGGGCAGGCUGUGGGGCGGGCAGGGUGCCCUGUGGGGUGCUGUGCCGUGGGGCAGCACCCUGUGCCGUGGGGUGGCAACUUGUGCCACGGGGAAGGAUGGUGCUGUGCUGUGGGGUGGUAACCUGUGCCAUGGGGUGAUACCCCACAGGGUGCUAUGCCAUGGGGUGGCACCCUGUGCUAUGGGGCAGCAUCCUGUGGGGUGCUAUGCCAUGGGGCAGGAUUGUGCUGUGCUGUGGGGCUGCACCCUGUGGGGUGCUAUGCCAUAGGGUGACACCCUGUGGGGUGCUGUGCCAUGGAGCAGCACCCUGUGGGGUGCUGUGCCGUGGGGCAGGAUGGUGCUGUGCCGUGGGGUGGCGCCCUGUGGGGUGCUGUGCCAUAGGGUGGCACCUUGUGCCAUGGGGCAAGAUGGUGCUGCGCCAUGGGGUGACACCAUGCCAUGGGGCAGGAUGGUUCUGUGCCAUGGGGUGGCACCCUGUGCCAUGGGGCAAGAUGGUGCUGUGCCAUGGGGCAGCACCCAGUGGGGUGCCAUGCCAUGGGGCAGGGUGGUUCCCUGCAGGAUGCUGUGCUAUGGGGCCAGAUGUGCAGUCUGUGGGGCAAGAAGUGCAGUCUGUGGGGCGCUGUGCUGUGGGGCAGGGCGGUACCCUGCAGGAUGCUGUGCUGUGGGGCCAGAUGUGCAGUCUGUGGGGCGGGCUGUGGGGCGGGCAGGGUGCCCUGUGGGGUGCUGUGCCGUGGGGCAGCACCCUGUGCCGUGGGGUGGCAACUUGUGCCACGGGGAAGGAUGGUGCUGUGCUGUGGGGUGGUAACCUGUGCCAUGGGGUGAUACCCCACAGGGUGCUAUGCCAUGGGGUGGCACCCUGUGCUAUGGGGCAGCAUCCUGUGGGGUGCUAUGCCAUGGGGCAGGAUUGUGCUGUGCUGUGGGGCUGCACCCUGUGGGGUGCUAUGCCAUAGGGUGACACCCUGUGGGGUGCUGUGCCAUGGAGCAGCACCCUGUGGGGUGCUGUGCCGUGGGGCAGGAUGGUGCUGUGCCGUGGGGUGGCGCCCUGUGGGGUGCUGUGCCAUAGGGUGGCACCUUGUGCCAUGGGGCAAGAUGGUGCUGCGCCAUGGGGUGACACCAUGCCAUGGGGCAGGAUGGUUCUGUGCCAUGGGGUGGCACCCUGUGCCAUGGGGCAAGAUGGUGCUGUGCCAUGGGGCAGCACCCAGUGGGGUGCCAUGCCAUGGGGCAGGGUGGUUCCCUGCAGGAUGCUGUGCUAUGGGGCCAGAUGUGCAGUCUGUGGGGCAAGAAGUGCAGUCUGUGGGGCGCUGUGCUGUGGGGCAGGGCGGUACCCUGCAGGAUGCUGUGCUGUGGGGCCAGAUGUGCAGUCUGUGGGGCGGGGUGGUACCCUGCAGAGCACUGAGCUAUGGGGCGUGGUAGCAUCCUGUGGCCCGAUGCGCCGUGGGGCAGGAUGCACGCCCUACAGUGCCGUGGGGCAGGGGUCUGAGUGCUAUGGGGCAAAGCCCCACUCCACGGGGGCUUAGCCACCCCCUUUCCCUAAAAGAACCACGCUAUGGGGCAGAACCACGCACCAUGGGGCUGGGCGGUGCCGUGGGGCAGCGGGAGAGCAGCUCUCCCCACAGGCAGGAAACAUAAGGGGCGGUGCCGUAGGGCAGCGGGAGAGCAGCUCUCCCCACAGGCAGGAAACACGAGGGGGGCCCACGGGUGGGACACACGGGUCUGCACCCCCAUCCCCCUCCCCACACCAGCCUCCCAACCCGCGCUGUGGGGCAGACGUGCCUCAGUUUCCCCCCCAUGGGCACCGCCCCGAUGCUUCCUGUGGAGCCGGGGUUCUUCCGCAUCCCUUGGGGGGCACGGUGUCCCCCCCAU
rnacentral:lncRNA from 1 species